rnacentral:rRNA from 1 species
GUGAGUAACACGUGGAUAACCUACCUAUAAGACUGGGAUAACUUCGGGAAACCGGAGCUAAUACCGGAUAAUAUAUUGAACCGCAUGGUUCAAUAGUGAAAGACGGUUUUGCUGUCACUUAUAGAUGGAUCCGCGCCGCAUUAGCUAGUUGGUAAGGUAACGGCUUACCAAGGCAACGAUGCGUAGCCGACCUGAGAGGGUGAUCGGCAACACUGGAACUGAGACACGGUCCAG